rnacentral:sRNA from 1 species
UCAGUAAACCCAGAUGGGCCUCAAACACAGCAAUCCCUGCCUCAGCUCCCAAUCUGUACAGUGCUAGGAUUACAGUCACAGCCGACUGCUACUGAAUUCUCACCUUGAACUCCAGGCUUAGUGUUCUCCAUCCACAGAGAAGGCAGCUGGGAUGCAGAGUGCAGAGGAGAAUACAAGAAGAGUUUGUUUCUGAGCAGUGAAGAGCACAUGCUCAAAGAGAGCUUCUGUAACACUUGGGAUUCCUUGAGUGACAAGAACAUCACCGAGUCUACCAAGCCUGAGACUGUGAUAACUAUAGUUAUUGUGGUGGGCACCUGUAGAUGCAGGAUGGAGGCUGGUUGCCAGAACAACCCACCAUGUGGGACAAGGGCUGGGUACCUCUGCCUUGUUUCUGUCUCAUGAAGAGUGUAGACGCUGAGUUGGUCGUCAAUGUGAUGUUAUUCCUAGUAGGCAAGUUGUAGAAUCAGCAUGAGUAUCAGUGAACAAAGAUGUUCCUAGUGCAAAUUAUCUGAACUAAUGAAGGUGAGCAUGGUUGGUCAGAAGUACUGGGACUGCAGACUGUCUUGGACGUGGAGCUCAACUUGUAAGCAAAAACCUCCUGGCUCUGUGCUGGUUUCUCAUGAGGCCAGAAUUCAAUUUAAUCGGUGGAUUCUCCUUGAGUUCAAGAAUUAGAGACAUGGAGAAUUGAUCAGUAUUAGACAACCCAAGAGAUUCUGAGGGAUAGUUUUCCUCUGAACCAAGAAGUUGAGAAGGUGUUUCUUGAAAUGAUAAGCUC